rnacentral:rRNA from 1 species
CCUACGGGUGGCAGCAGUGGGGAAUAUUGCACAAUGGGCGAAACCCUGAUGCAGCGACGCCGCGUGAGUGAAGAAGGAAUUCGUUAUGUAAAGCUCUAUCAGCAGGGAAGUAAAUGACGGUACCUGUGUAAGUAUCCCUGGCUAACUACGUUCCAGCAGCCGCGGUAAUAUGUAGGGGGCAAGCGUUAUCCGGAUUUACUGGGUGUAAAGGGAGCGUAGACGGCAGUGCAAGUCUGGAGUGAAAGGCGGGGGCUCAACCCGCGGACUGCUGUGGAAACUGUACGGCUGGAGUGCAGGAGAGGUAAGUGGAAUUCGUAGUGUAGCGGUGAAAUGCGUAGAUAUUAGGAGGAACACCAGUGGCGAAGGCAGCUUACUGGACUGUAACUGACGUUGAGGCUCGAAAGCGUGGGGAGCAAACAGGAUUAGAUACCCUAGUAGUC